rnacentral:rRNA from 1 species
GAUGAACGCUGACAGAAUGCUUAACACAUGCAAGUCGACUCGAGUCUUCGGACUUGGGUGGCGCACGGGUGAGUAACGCGUAAAGAACUUGCCUCUUAGACCGGGACAACAUCUGGAAACGGAUGCUAAUACCGGAUAUUAUGGUUUUUUCGCAUGGAGGAAUCAUGAAAGCUAGAUGCGCUAAGAGAGAGCUUUGCGUCCCAUUAGCUAGUUGGUGAGGUAACGGCCCACCAAGGCAAUGAUGGGUAGCCGGCCUGAGAGGGUGAACGGCCACAGGGGGACUGAGACACGGCCCUUACUCCUACGGGAGGCAGCAGUGGGGAAUAUUGGACAAUGGACCACAAGUCUGAUCCAGCAAUUCUGUGUGCACGAUGACGUUUUUCGGAAUGUAAAGUGCUUUCAGUCGGGAAGAAGUCAGUGACGGUACCGACAGAAGAAGCGACGGCUAAAUACGUGCCAGCAGCCGCGGUAAUACGUAUGUCGCAAGCGUUAUCCGGAUUUAUUGGGCGUAAAGCGCGUCUAGGCGGCAAGGAAAGUCUGAUGUGAAAAUGCGGAGCUCAACUCCGUAUGGCGUUGGAAACUGCCUUACUAGAGUACUGGAGAGGUAGGCGGAACUACAAGUGUAGAGGUGAAAUUCGUAGAUAUUUGUAGGAAUGCCGAUGGGGAAGCCAGCCUACUGGACAGAUACUGACGCUAAAGCGCGAAAGCGUGGGUAGCAAACAGG